CAUGAAAAGCGAUAGCAGUGGAAAAAGGCCAGCUGGUUCAACAUGCCAGUCCUUUUAAAGCAGAGGCAGAAAAAGAAGGAGGCUACAGAUCACUUUAGACUAUGAAACAGGGCAGCUGAUCAGAGGGAAGCAGCCUUUAGAGCAAUGCUAGCUCUUGCAGACCCAGGAAGCAGAAUAAUAUUUUUCAAACCGAAGACUUCGCUCCCAUCGUAACAGAUCAAACCAUCGCUCAGACCAGCAGAUCCCAUCCUUCCUCAGCCUGAUGCUUCCCCUUCCUCCUCGCAGCAGGAGGCUGCUGGCAGCUGGGGACAGCGAGCCACGGCCGCGGGCCGGCGUGGGGCUUGCCGGCAGGUGAGCUGCUGCUGGCAGCUGGGGACACCGGCGCCCGAGGAGGAGGAGGAGGAGGAAGAUGGGAGCCCACAGUUUGCUGCCAUGUACGU
rnacentral:lncRNA from 1 species